rnacentral:lncRNA from 1 species
CGCGGUCGCCCCAGCCGCCCGGCAGCCGCCGACCCCCGGCCGGGCCCUGGACUCGCCGCGGUAGUGCCUUCCCAAACAGAGCUGCUGGAAUUACAAUCUUUUGUUGAGCCUCAUGUAACGGAAAAGUCUCCGAUUACUAUCACUUGAAAAGGCUAGCGCGCCCACGGGACGGCCUGGAGAGUGAAGAGCCCCAAGGGUCCCGGGCCCGCGCGGCUCAUUCACUCUCUAGCGUCUGCUGAGGUAACGCGGCCCGCACCUGGGCGCGCGCGACUGCCCCAGUGCGCUGGCGCCAACCACGCGGCGGCGGCCCGGCGAGCCACCGGGAAGAAGUCAGACAAAGUCACUCUCAGGGCGCUGUGCAGCGCCACAGCCAGGGGAGGUGUAAGUUCGGGCUCAGUGAAGAAUCUCGGCUGACUUACGCUGCCAUCAGGGGAUAUGAAGGCGGUGGUUUCCUGGAAUAACACGGGCCUAUGAUAGGAAUUCGACGCAAGGAAGAUUUAUGGGAGCACCGAUUUGCAAGGCAUUGUGGGAAAAAGGUACACAGGCAGACAACAAAUUACACUUUUGGCAUUUCCAGUUUGGAGCCCUACAGCAAUACUCACUGAAGAAGCUGUCUCAACAAAGAGGAACAGAGCACUAAAGCUAAAUAACCCCCAUGAAGGACCAACCCUCUUCCGGCAGUCCCCAAAUGAAGAGCAAUUGUAUUCCUUUAAUUCAGUCAUAAAUCAACUCUCAAUUCUAUGAGAUUUUUCACAGAAGAACGGAGCGCCUCAAAAGUGGAUCAAGGCAGAAAUGGAUGUGGAAAUUAUCAUCCUGUACCUUUGAGGUAAAGAGGCUUCUACAGCUCUGGCAUGAGCUACCACAGGUCAUAACCAUUAGGAAAGAAACUGGAAUGUUACCAUGCCAGGCUUUGUAAGUAUUCUGUUAGUUCUCCUCUAUAUUGAUUAAAGUUCGUAAAGUCAAUACCUGGAACAGCCCAGAGGGAAAAUACUUUACCUGUUCUCUUACUUCCCAAGAUACCACAUUUAUUAUCUAAGUCGCACAGGUUAUCAGAUAAACUUGCAGGUUUUUGUUUUAUGAAGAAACAAUAAUCCCCAGGCUACUUUCCAGCAUCCUCUACUGUUACUCUACAAAAUCUUCCUUGGUGACAUCAUCCACUUCUCUGUCUUUGCUGGUUACCCGGUGCUGACAGCUGCUCCCUGCAAGGUGCAGGUGUCUCCUAACAAUCACUAACUCCGCCUGUCGAACACCGAACUCACAGCCCCGACCUCUACGCCCUGCAUCUCCUCCACCACUCCCUCGCUGAAUGGCAUCCCCACUUCUCCUAGCCGCCCCAGACACAAACCUUCGCAGUCACCUUUCAUUUCUCCCUCUCGCUCCACAGGGUGGCCCUAAGGUAACUCGUACCUCCUGAAAAUCUCAUGAGUUAGUUCCAGCAGGAGUUUCUCAUUCCAGCUCCUCAUCUCUCAUUGUAAUCCCUAAUCCAUUCCCCUACAAUGCUACCAGAGGGACCGUGCUAAAAUGUAAUUCCAGUUAUUUUAUCCCCCUAAAAACUAAAAUCUACCAAAUGGCUCCCAAUGCCAUCAGAAUAAUGCCAAGAAGCCUUAGGAGAGAAAAUGAGAUUCUUCACGAGGACCUUGCCCAUCUCUCUAGCCUGGUCCCA